UCUUCUACGUUCAAUUAAAAUUCUCGUUGUCAUUGAUGAUAUUUCUUCUUGAUUUAUUAAAUUUUUAGAUAAUAUUUGAUGUAUAUUUACAAUCCAUAAGUUAGAAAGGUGUGUAGAAGGUUCGGGGGUGGGGUGGGGGGGGGGGUUGCAUGAUCCAUCAUACUUCAAGUCCCUGUCUAUAUAUUAAAACUACCCCUAUUAUGACCUCACCACGUGCGACUUCUGGUAAAAUAUCGAACCGAAAUAACGUAUGAUAAAAAAAUAAGCGAUACAUUUCUAUAAAAAUAAUUGUAACGCGCGGACGCAUUAUUUUUGGUCUAAUUGAUUUUCUCGGAAUAGCAGCCUUUUGACGUAAAAUUUCCAAUUGAUAAAGUACCGAAACCUGUACCAAAAAUGUCAACGAUGCCCUGGGCUCUACAUGUAUGUAUGGCUAUGGCAUUUUUAAAAUUGUUCAGUAUACAUCAGUGGCGGAAUUAGGGGAGGGGAGCGCAGCCCUGAAAUUUCAAAUCAAAGUCAAAUCGUGGUGUGUUGUUUAAAAAAAAUGUACUAAACGAUACCAGAAGCAAUAUUUUUUUUUCCACUCCCGGAGAAAUAAAUCACAAAAUCUCUUGAUUUCUUGAAUUACUUUAUUGGGAGAACUUAUUUUUUUCCAAAAACCCUUAAUGUUUGCGUCAUUUUAUUAAUUUCACAUUAUAAAAAAAUGAUAGAAAAUGUUACAAAUGACUAAAUAGGGACACGUUUCAAGCUCUAUAAAAUCUGUUGAAUCCAGGAGCUUUCGGGGGCUUCACUCUGGAGCCACUGGAGCCUUUAAGGCUGCGCCCAGACCCCUUGCUUCAUAAAGUGACAACCCCUGUAACAGCAAUUCCUGGAUCCUCCCUAGUACAUGUAUAUUUAUCUAUUUAUAUUUAUAUCUCUAUCUUUCUGUCAGUCUACAUACAAGUAUCAGUAGGUAGAUUUAAACUGAUAAGUAAUGUCUUGAGUUCCAGCCCCGCUCGUGCUAUGACUUCGUCAAACCUAAAAGGUAAACAUAGUAAUAGUGCUCCAUCAUAAACCGCUCAGCAUUUAGAAGCGAGAGUAAGACCUUUAAGGAGGUAUGCUACACCAGAGAAAUUUGAUGUAGAUGAAAAGUGGAAAAUAUAUACAACAAUAUUUUGAAGUUGAAAUUUUUCAAAUUUACUUAAUUUUGUCAAAAAAUACAGUUUUAGUAGAAGGUAAUCUGAAAAAAUAAAAUAAAACCUCUGCUGGACUUGAACCUGUGACCUACAGUUUAGUAGUCGGUAUGCUAACCUACUGAGCUAAUCGGCUAGGUAUCUUAAUUGAAAAGCAAAAGUCAAAUAUUGCUGAUAUUGAUUUUUUCCUUCAUGUUUUAACCCUUUCUCUACUGUAUCGGUCAAUAUGACCGAUAGCGCGUAAAAACAGGGCUACGCAAAAGGAGUGUCUAUAAAUUUUUGAAACUACGGACGUAAUAUAUAUGUUUUAUAUAUCAUAUUUUUGGAAAUUUUCUAUAUUUUUUAACUAUGCAAAAAUCAAUUGAAUAAAUAAAGCCAUUAAAUUAAAAAAAGCAUUUAAAAUGAAGGAUGACUUCGUCUAAAUAUGACGCAACGCUUUGUCGCAAGGCCAUUUCCCCCCUCGCUAUGAUUUUUUUUUAUUUUCCCUAUGACUGCAAUAUUUUUUAUAUAUUUGAGAAGCAUAUAUUCCCUGCUUUCAGUACAUAUAAAAAUUAUUUUUAAUGGCUGGCAAAGUUAUAAGAAAAUAGCAAUUUUUUGCACAUAUACGUUGUUUUACGAUUUUAUUUCGCAAUGUUUAAACAGAUCGGCGUUUUAUCUAUAUUUAUAUAUGGAAAUAGGGAAAAGUAAAUACAUCCUGUAGAAGUAGAGGAAAUGUUCUUUUUGAUGGACCCUUAUUCAUAUUAUAAUUCUCGGUAGUUUUUAUAUUACGAUAAAAUGAAAUUGGGACAUGCUGCGCGGUUUUCUUAAAAAUUAGCGACAAAUCGACGUCGCUAAAAGCAAUCGACGCGCGUCGCACAAUAAAGUGGUGAAAACUAUUUGUAUUGUCCUCUUUUAGUAAAUUCAGUACCUGUUGAUACACUAAAACAACAUACAUACAUGUAUGAAAUAAUCAGCCAGGUAUCUCUGCUUUUUUUUUUUAAAGCAUAAAACCAAUAUUGGUUUAUAACAGUUACACAACCUACAUGUAACUUCAUAAAACACCUAUUGAGAAUAUUACAUCGGCAGAUUGAAUUUAAAAAAAGAUAAAUAAAGUACUUCGAAUUCAGAUAUAAACGUUAUAUUUGUUCGGAAUAGUAAUAAUUUUUUUCUCUGCCAAAGAAAGAAAACAAAAAAGAAGUUCGCCUAUAUAUAGCCUGUAUACUUUUAUUUUUCCGUGAUCCGGAUCGCGGGCCUCGCGGGCUUUUCUGAAAGUGUGCACGGAGAACACACGUGUUUCCGUUUCAACGAAAACAACACAGCUUCACCGUGACUGCCACAACCAACGCUUGUAUUUUACAUCUUUAAAACGACCUGAUGUCAGAAGAAGAUGCCCUGGAUCGCCUGUUGCAGGAUGACCCAAACGAUCAUGCAUUCAGUAUAAAUACGUACAUGUAAGUUGAUGUAGCCACAUAGGCCGACUAAAAAGAAAACAAAAAUGUGGUUUUGUCAUGUUAUGAAAAAUUCACGAUUAAUUAACCACAAUUUGAUGCCAUGGUUUGUCGUUUCAUGAAAGCAAAUAUUUAUAUUUUAUGAUAUCUAAAACAAGUGAAUAACACCCUGUCCGGGUCCGGCAGUUUGAUUAACACCCCUCCCCCCCUUUUCCCCAGAAUUAUCUCCUUACGUGACGCGCGAGUGUAAGAAGGGGGUGUAUUUAGUGUAUAAUGGGAUGGGGUGGUUUUAAUCAGACUGGGCAUUCACGACCGCUGGUGAGAAGGCUAUUUUCCAAGUUUUUUCCAUGUUUAUAAAAGAAAUUAUCUUUCUAUGAAAAGAAAACACAAUCUGUUAGGAAAACACACUUAUGAUAGAAUUUAUUAUCAUAAUUUGAAUUAUUUUCUUUAUUCUGUAACAGAAAUAAAAACAAAAUGUGUGUUUGGGCCAAAAUGGGGGUGGGUUAACAUCAAUCAAAGUCUGAUUAUGACAGGCUAAUGAAAAAUCAUAUUGAUUUCUCUUUUAUCCAAAUGCAUGUAUUUUAUAUACACUUAGUAGCUUAUGACCAUAAAUUAAAUGUGAUCCAUACAUGCUGGUACUUGUAUGCUAUGAGCUGAUGGACAUGUCUUCCCUUCUUGCCCACAGGGGCUCGGUUAUCAGAUAUUGAAGUUUUGUAUUAUUUGUUCCUGAAUAAUAAAUUGAAGUUUUGCAUGAUUUGUGUCCGAAUAAUAAAUUAUAUAAAUGCAAGGUGAAGAUAACGAACAGUGAUCAAUCUCAUAACUCCUACAAGCAAUACAAAAUAGAUAGUUGGGCAAACACGGACCCCUGGACACACCAGAGGUGGGAUCAGGUGCCUAGGAGGAGUAAGCAUCCCCUGUUGACCGGUCACACCCGCCGUGAGCCCCAUAUCAUGAUCAGGUAAACGGAGUUAUCCGCAGUCAAAUCAGUGCGCCAAGUACUUUAAUGUACACAUGAUACACCUUUUUGAAAACCUCUAAAAAAGCGGAUUUUGGUGGUGGAUUUUAUUUAUAUAAUUUAUUAUUCGGACACAAAUCAUGCAAAACUUCAAUUUAUUAUUCGGGAACAAAUAAUACAGAACUUCAAUAUCUGACAACCGAGCCCCUGUGUUCUUGCCGGUCUCCUCCGUGGCCGAGUGGUUAGAGCAUUGCGCUCAAAAUCACACGGCCUCUCAUCUCUGUCGGCGCGAGUUCGAAUCCCAUUCGCGCCGGUAAGUGAGAAAGUUUUCCCAGUUUACUUUCGAAAGAUCGGUGGUCUCUCCCCAGGUAUCUGGGUUCUCUCUUCCACCAAUAAAAAAAAACUGGGUGCCACCAGAUAACUGAAAAAUUGUUGAGUUUGGCAGAAAACAUCAAUCAAUCAAUCCCCUUCUUGCCUAGAUUUUCUCUAAUUUCGACUAAAUCCACAGCCCAUCAGAGUACCAUACAAGGGGAUUUAGACACUGGGUACCAUUAAGAAGCAAUUCAAUUCAACUUUUAUAUCUGGGGUCAUUCACUUUCCCUCAGAGUUUCAGUAUUUUCGCUGGACCCUGUAGGUUUUAACCUGAAUUUCUUCAGUAUUUGCCCUCGUGUAUAAUAUAUACUAGGCAUAAUGCAGAUACCUACAUAAUACAUUUUUUUUUCAUUACCCACUCUGCUACUCUCGCAAUGUAUAAUAAAAUAUUCGAUUCAUUUCUAACACAUGUAUGCAAUCCCUUACCAUAUCUUUAAAUAAAUUUGAGUAAAUAAAUUUAAGUGCGAAACUGUUCCAUGCUACCGUGAAACUUAGAUUUUGCUUUUUAAACAUAAACCAACAAUUCUUAAUUGUGAUUUCUUUUCUUCUUUAAAAAGGGUAUUGACAUCGCAAUAUUUAGUGGGAAGUUCCCAGGUAUCAUCCGCUAGCGACAGUCUACUGACAAAUCCAGACAUGCAUUGGAAGGAUGCUGAUGUGGAGGACACAGGAACACCUGAUCCCAGAACUGUGGCAUUUCAUUCGGGGUGACAACCUGCCUUUCAGUUGAUAUGGGACCCUAUUAUUCGGAGAACUGCAGAUUUUAUGAAGCUGUCUUUGACAGAAGAUUUGGUUUUCUCCAUCUGUGUUGCCACCAACCAUUAUGCUGAGAUGGUCAUAUCUAGGGGGAAGGGUUGCCAUAUACUUCCCAAGGAAGUUUUCAGCCUCUCACUGAAGAGGAACUGUACAGAUUUUUGUGCAUUAUCUUAUACACGCCUGCUGUGAAGUUCCAGUCGAUAGACAGAUAUUGGUCAACGCAUGCCCCUGUCGGAACAACUCGUUAUCAAGAAUUAUGUCUAGAAAUAGGUUUCAAGAGGUUGAAUAUAAGAACAUUUUUGUUAAAUAUGAUGCAAGUACAUUUAAAUCUAGUGAUUGAAAGUAAGUACUUGAACAUUCGCUUAUGUUGAACUUGGAGAGGAAAAAUGGUUAGUACUUUUUGAUAACAUUUGAUAAGGUGUUGUUGCUUAGCAACCAAAUAUAACUGAAUAAAAAAUAGAUUAUUUUAGAUUAACAAUAAUUGAAAGAUCUUUGUUUUAAUGUUGCAAUACUUAUUCUAUUUAAUGGAACAUAAUGGCAAAACGUCAUAUUAUUAGAAAAUGAUGGACAAGUAUAUAAAGUACGAAGUUUCCAUUUGAUGAUCUUUGACCUUAAUUCUCUUCAUUACAUUUUUUGUUAAAAACCUUUUAAAAUGAUUAAGAUCUAUUUAAAGAUUAUAUUUUUAAAAUAAUGUGACAUUUACUAAUCAUCAUGGAUUGUAAUUACGUUUAAAUUGUGUCGAAUGGAUGCAGAAAGGCAAAUUAUGGUCAAAAUUGUACUAUGAGUGUUGUUACUUAGCAACCAAAAAUAUUUGUUUGUCAAUAAAAUUGAUUAGUUUGA